rnacentral:rRNA from 1 species
UGCCAGCCGCCGCGGUAAUACGGAGGGUGCAAGCGUUAAUCGGAAUUACUGGGCGUAAAGCGCGCGCAGGCGGCUAUUUAAGUCGGAUGUGAAAGCCCCGGGCUCAACCUGGGAACUGCAUACGAUACUGGAUGGCUAGAGUACGAGAGAGGGUGGUAGAAUUUCUAGUGUAGCGGUGAAAUGCGUAGAUAUUAGAAGGAAUACCAGUGGCGAAGGCGGCCACCUGGCUCGAUACUGACGCUCAUGUGCGAAAGCGUGGGGAGCAAACAGGAUUAGAUA